GAUGAACGCUGGCGGCGUGCCUAAUACAUGCAAGUCGAGCGAAUGGAUUAAGAGCUUGCUCUUAUGAAGUUAGCGGCGGACGGGUGAGUAACACGUGGGUAACCUGCCCAUAAGACUGGGAUAACUCCGGGAAACAGGGGCUAAUACCGGAUAACAUUUUGAACCGCAUGGUUCGAAAUCGAAAGGCGGCUUCGGCUGUCACUUAUGGAUGGACCCGGGUCGCAUUAGCUAGUUGGUGAGGUAACGGCUCACCAAGGCAAAGAUGCGUAGCCGACCUGAGAGGGUGAUCGGCCACACUGGGACUGAGACACGGCCCAGACUCCUACGGGAGGCAGCAGUAGGGAAUCUUCCGCAAUGGACGAAAGUCUGACGGAGCAACGCCGCGUGAGUGAUGAAGGCUUUCGGGUCGUAAAACUCUGUUGUUAGGGAAGAACAAGUGCUAGUUGAAUAAGCUGGCACCUUGACGGUACCUAACCAGAAAGCCACGGCUAACUACGUGCCAGCAGCCGCGGUAA
rnacentral:rRNA from 1 species